GAUUCUUUCACUAUGUCAUUGAGGUAGGCAAGCUCUUAGGAUAGAGAUUACAAGAGAUAUCGCAGUUUCGUUACAGAUAUACCAAAUGAGAAACCUUAUCAAGGAAUGCGUAUAGGGAAAACCUCAGAUACCUCUCUUUGUGCUCUCGAGGAAUUAACAGAUAUAAGACACAAUGGGCCCAAAUCCAAGACUAAAAAGCAGUUGGGCCUUGCGUUUCAUCGAAUUUACCAUAAUACCCUGAAUUGAAGAACAGGCGCCAAAACCCGCAUGGCGGGAAAAAGACAGUUUCUCUUCCGGCUUUCACCCCAGAAAAAUCAUUAAUUUCCUUAACCCAAAGGAAUUGCGGGAAAAAACGCGAUGUUUCUACUUCCUAAAUAGUUCAUGGCUACUCAUGAAUCUCCUGACACGGGAAUGGUGUUUCUUCCUUGAGAGUUGAUAUUCUCCCAUCCCCAGAUCUCUCAAACGCUGUCGCUUCAUUUCUUUUUUCUAUCUCUAUCAAAGGAUUCUCUCUCCGUUUGUCAUUGUGUAAGCAAAGGCGGACCGCUGGAAGAUGGUCAUCGACGUCGAUGCUGAGCCCAACACCAAUGCCCAAGGUCAGCCCAGGAAAACCCUCAAGCG
rnacentral:misc_RNA from 1 species